CAUGCAAGUCGAGGGGAAACGACAUCGAAAGCUUGCUUUUGAUGGGCGUCGACCGGCGCACGGGUGAGUAACGCGUAUCCAACCUGCCCAUCACUUGGGGAUAACCUUGCGAAAGUAAGACUAAUACCCAAUGACGUCUCUAGAAGACAUCUGAAAGAGAUUAAAGAUUUAUCGGUGAUGGAUGGGGAUGCGUCUGAUUAGCUUGUUGGCGGGGUAACGGCCCACCAAGGCGACGAUCAGUAGGGGUUCUGAGAGGAAGGUCCCCCACAUUGGAACUGAGACACGGUCCAAACUCCUACGGGAGGCAGCAGUGAGGAAUAUUGGUCAAUGGACGAGAGUCUGAACCAGCCAAGUAGCGUGCAGGAUGACGGCCCUAUGGGUUGUAAACUGCUUUUAUAAGGGAAUAAAGUUAGUCUCGUGAGACUUUUUGCAUGUACCUUAUGAAUAAGGACCGGCUAAUUCCGUGCCAGCAGCCGCGGUAAUACGGAAGGUCCGGGCGUUAUCCGGAUUUAUUGGGUUUAAAGGGAGCGUAGGCCGGAGAUUAAGCGUGUUGUGAAAUGUAGACGCUCAACGUCUGCACUGCAGCGCGAACUGGUUUCCUUGAGUACGCACAAAGUGGGCGGAAUUCGUGGUGUAGCGGUGAAAUGCUUAGAUAUCACGAAGAACUCCGAUCGCGAAGGCAGCUCACUGGAGCGCAACUGACGCUGAAGCUCGAAAGUGCGGGUAUCGAACAGGAUUAGAUACCCUGGUAGUCCGCACGGUAAACGAUGGAUGCCCGCUGUUGGUCUGAAUAGGUCAGCGGCCAAGCGAAAGCAUUAAGCAUCCCACCUGGGGAGUACGCCGGCAACGGUGAAACUCAAAGGAAUUGACGGGGGCCC
rnacentral:rRNA from 1 species